rnacentral:rRNA from 1 species
UACAGAGGUCUCAAGCGUUGUUCGGAUUCAUUGGGCGUAAAGGGUGCGUAGGUGGCGAGGCAAGUCAGAUGUGAAAUCCCGGGGCUCAACCCCGGAACUGCAUUUGAAACUGCCUUGCUCGAGUACUGGAGAGGAGACUGGAAUUUACGGUGUAGCAGUGAAGUGCGUAGAUAUCGUAAGGAAGACCAGUGGCGAAGGCGAGUCUCUGGACAGUUACUGACACUGAGGCACGAAGGCCAGGGGAGCAAACGGG